CGGAAGGUCAUGAGGGCCUGACCCUCGUACGCGGAAGGCCAUGAGGGCGGGACCCUGGUACGCGGAAGGCCAUGAGGGCGGGAACCCUCGUACGCGGAAGUUCAUGAGGGCGGGACCCUCGUACGCGGAAGGUCAUGAGGGCGGGACCCUCGUACGCGGAAGUUCAUGCGGGCGGGACCCUCGUACGUGGAAGGUCAUGAGGGCGGGACCCUCGUACGUGGAAGGUCAUGAGGGCGGAACCCUGGUACAUGAAAUUCGUUCUCUUAUUUAAGAGACAAAGAACGCCCUUGUUUUUUCCACCACGUGAUGGCGCAGACAGAAGACAACCAGCAUCUAUGAACCAGGAAGCCCCCACCAGGCACUGAAUCUGCCCCUGCGUGGAUCUUAGACUUGCAGACUCCAGAACUGUCCAAAUUUUGGUCUGGAGCCAGAGACAAUAUAGGAUGAAGUUUGAUUUGUUCCAAAACCCACAGAAAUCUCUAAAAUGGAAGAAUUUUCUUAGAACCAAAAGGCAUGGAAUUGAUGACAUGAAACUGGAUGCCGGAGGAAAAAUGAAACCAAUGUGAGAAGAUUUAGUUGGAUUCUAAAACGAUUUGUGAUCCUGGACUGGUUCUUCAAAUUCCUUCUCUUCCCUGAAAUGCCAAGCCACCUUCCUGAGUGUUUUGGCAUUGACAGCUGAUGUCUCCUUUUUAUUAUGGAUCUUCAAGUCAGAAGUGGUAUUUGGUUCUCUUAAUCAACUUACGAAGAGAAGACUACCCAAAUGGGAAUUUGUUUAAUCAAAGAGAGCAUCAUAACACAAAUAGUCACAAAAUUGAUUAGUUAUAAUUGUGGUAAUUUCAUUCAGUUCUGGGACAUCUACAGUACAUACUUAGUUCCACAGACCCCACUGCCUGUGACCUAGUUGGCCAAAUUUAAAGUUGAGUGACAAAUUUUAAUUAUGAAGCUGAUGAAGGUACUUAUGCAAAAUUAUUUCUAAUCAAUUAUAAUUCAGUUUUACUCACUGAUAAUCUACUGGAGUCUAAUACAUUAAUUUAGUGUACUCUAGUAUUGAACAUCAAUUGCACUAAUGCUAGGAGCUGUGGGUGAUCCAAAGGAAUGAUGUAUAUGGGGCAGCUGAUGUGCCAAGUCCCCUCUCACUAGAGAACAAGGAAGUGGAAAAAUAUGUAACCAUAAGAUCAGCAGAAAGGACAGAUGUGGUAGUUUGGCUAGUGAGAAAACAACUGAAAAGAUCCAUCUGAGUAAGCUCCUAAAAUUCCAAAGUCAUUUCUUAAAUAUGCUAUUUUUAAGAUGAUACUGCCUGCACAUUUUCCAUGGAGAUGCUUAUUUUUGGACCAUCUGUUGAUGGUAAAUAUGUAUCAUGUGCCCUCUAAAGCCUCUAUGUGUUGUCUACUCACUAUUUUACAGCUUCUGACUUGUGUCAGAUACUGAAAUGUCACUGUUAUCCAGUUUGUUGGCUUAUGUGACAGAGAUCACCUAAGUGCUCACUGGCCUCCUAGACACCGGGGCUGCUUUCCUUCCCUGACUCACUUUCAGCCAGAUUGGGUGUCUGGGACAGCUUCUGUCACUGUGUUGCAGGUAGAGGUGGUUUCUGCUAUUUUGGAGCCUGGCCUCUAACAGCCCAUGAGACUCUCGGCUCACUCUCUGUCUCUGCUUACAAGCUAGAAGAGAUACUGUCUGAGACGACAGAGAUGCACAAUGGAAGGAAUCGUGAUCUCUAAGCCACUGCUUGAAAGAGAUUGGUCAGGGCAUCUGUUCAACUUGCCUGGGUUCUACAUGAGAAGCACGUCUUGCUUUUGUUCAGCACAUUCAGCGAGUGAUUGCCAUUACCCUGACGCAUGCUGAAGUUGACAAGUCUUGGACCAAGGUGCCACCUGCACUUGCAUAUUCAUACUGCCCAAUAACACUCACUGGGUUGCGGGAAAUAAGGCAGAGAUUAAAGUCUAGGAGGUUGCAGAGUUCGCCCUGCAUGGACUGAAACAUUGGAGCUACAUCAGGCUGAGGAUGCUCUGGGUUGGCUUUCCAUGCUUGUUUGUUUGUUCAUGGUUCAGUUUGUGUAAUUCAGCCACCACUGGCCCAAAAAUCCAAAGAAAAAUUCCCUUUUCCCACAUGUUACUGACCUGGUUAGAAAAGCCAUAUUAGGGGUAAUUUUGAAGAGCCACUGUUUUGAAAUACGGUUUCUCUUCCAGCCUGAGCUUCUCAGCUGACCUGUGAUGGAGUGUUGUGCCCAAGUGGAAAGUUCUUCUUUCUUUCAGAGACAUAUCAUUCACCAUAAAAUACAACCAGAGACUUCAAAAUUACUCCAGGCUAGAAGGACACUCCAAUUAGGGGAAAAGUAACCUAUGGGCAAACCAUCUUCCGUAAGAGUUCAAGGACAAAAAACUACUGAUGUUGUAAUAACAUUGAAACUUAAUGUUUUGGGCAAUCCUUAAGUGAUUUAUUUGGAGUGUCCCAGUCAUUUUAGACCUCUUCACCUUACAAUGUAUUGUGUGAGAUUAUAUUUCCAUGCACCUAAUUUUAAAAUAAAUUUAUUUAGGUAGAUGUAGAGACAUAUUACUGUGAUAAAGCAGUUCAUACCAAAUAAAAUUUAGCUAAUAAUCCUGGCUGUGUUUUCAAUCUUAGAUUAACUUACAUUACAAAAUCUCUUUCCUAUAGCAAUGUUUUCAGUAUUCAUGUUGUUGAUGAUGAUAUGUUUAGUAUAAAUUACAUCUUCCACUACAUUAUUUUAUGGAAGUAUAAAAAGUAAACCAGGCCGGGCGCGGUGGCUCACGCCUGUAAUCC
rnacentral:lncRNA from 1 species